CCUACGGGAGGCAGCAGUGGGGAAUAUUGGGCAAUGGGCGCAAGCCUGACCCAGCAACGCCGCGUGAAGGAAGAAGGCUUUCGGGUUGUAAACUUCUUUUAUCAGGGACGAAGCAAGUGACGGUACCUGAUGAAUAAGCCACGGCUAACUACGUGCCAGCAGCCGCGGUAAUACGGAGGAUGCGAGCGUUAUCCGGAUUUAUUGGGUUUAAAGGGUGCGUAGGCGGGCUGUUAAGUCAGCGGUCAAAUGUCGGGGCUCAACCCCGGCCUGCCGUUGAAACUGGCGGCCUCGAGUGGGCGAGAAGUAUGCGGAAUGCGUGGUGUAGCGGUGAAAUGCAUAGAUAUCACGCAGAACUCCGAUUGCGAAGGCAGCAUACCGGCGCCCUACUGACGCUGAGGCACGAAAGCGUGGGUAUCGAACAGGAUUAGAUACCCCGGUAGUC
rnacentral:rRNA from 1 species